UACAGAGGUCUCAAGCGUUGUUCGGAUUCAUUGGGCGUAAAGGGUGUGUAGGUGGCGCGCUAAGUCGGGUGUGAAAUUUCGGAGCUUAACUCCGAAACUGCAUUCGAUACUGCGGUGCUCGAGUGCAGGAGAGGAACGCGGAAUUCCAGGUGUAGCGGUGAAAUGCGUAGAUAUCUGGAGGAACACCGGUGGCGAAGGCGGCGUUCUGGACUGCAACUGACACUGAGGAACGAAAGCCAGGGGAGCAAACGGG
rnacentral:rRNA from 1 species